rnacentral:misc_RNA from 1 species
CAAAGAUGCACCAAUUGUAGCCAAGUAUUUAUCCUUUAUUUACACAGCUUAAUAGAUGGGCUUAUUAUCUUUCAAAAGGCAGAAAAGGAUCAGCCUAACCAUGAGAAUAUUCCAUCAAAUCAUGGGCUCGUACUCCUCCCCCACCCAACUCCAAGAUUCUCUAUUUUAUUUAAGAUGAACUUAAUGAGGAUUUUCCACAUCAUACCAAUAAGAAAACAUAAUAAUAUAAUAUGCAAGUUGCAGAAAAUUUGGUUAUAACUUAAAAACUUAACCGAAUAAUUCUAAUUUGAUUUUUCAAUCUAAAUGAUUUGAUUCAGUUAUUUAUUUCUAAAAUUUUGGUCACUUGAUUCAAUUCAGUUUGGCUAUUAAGGUCUAAAAAAUAGAAAUAACUGAACUGAGUCAACUAUCCGAAGUUUGGUUUUGCUCUAAUCCAUUAUUCUUUUGCUCAUCAAUUAUAAAGAAAUUUUGUUGGCCCUGGCUUAAUCUCUAAGCCCUAAUUUUUCUUCUCUUUCCCCCUUUCUCAAAUUUUCACCUCACAUCCUCGUCUUACCUCGACCUUGCCCUUGCCCCUAUCUCGCCACCUCUCGUUGUUGUCUCUCCUCUCUCAAUUUCUCACUCUCCCUUCAUAGCCCAUUAACUCUUCUCAUCAUCUCUCCUUCUCCUUCCUCAGAUCCAUUUCUUCAAAACCUAUAAAUGGCAUUCAAUUCCAUUCUUUGCAAAACCUCAGCAUAUGUACUUUCUCUUGCAAUUUGCUCCGCAAGUUCACAAAGAACAUUUGACCUCAUAAUAUUUGUCAUUCUCUGUGUCGAAAAGUGCAACGAAAACUUUCUUCCAUUUUUGCAAUUCUCAACUGCUUUUCUUCCAUUUUUGCAAUUCUCAACUGCU